AUAACGACUGGGAGAGCGGUGUGCUGACCACACGCCCCUCCUAUCCGAUCCUCUACUGAGGAUGACACGGCGGUCAGAUGGUCCCGAUGGGCCACUUGUGGCCUGAAGAUGGAGUGCUUAUUUUCUUGUUUCAGAAAGUCAACACAAAAACGCAGACCGCCAGCCUACAGCCAGGAUUUUUUAUGGGCAAGAACACCAGUAGCUCCCUGCUAGCAGCAAACCAAAGGAAAACAGGUGCAGAGCAAAAUCUUCAUGAGCCAAAACUACAAGAAAACCCGUGUUUCAGGAUGCACAGCGUCAUCUUGAGGUUUCAUGAAGAAUAAGUCGUACGUAGAUGCA